rnacentral:rRNA from 1 species
CCUACGGGAGGCAGCAGUGGGGAAUAUUGCACAAUGGUGGGAACCCUGAUGCAGCAAUGCCGCGUGCAGGAUGAAGGUCUUCGGAUUGUAAAAUUCUUUUGUACGGGACGAAGAAAGCGACGGUACUGUAAUUAUAAGCCACGGCUAACUACGUGCAAGCAGCCGCGGUAAUACGUAGGGGGCAAGCGUUAUCCGGAUUUACUGGGUGUAAAGAGCGAGUAGGCGGGAUGGCAAGUCAGAUGUGAAAACUAUGGGCUCAACCGAUAGAGUGCAUUUGAAACUGCAGUGCUUGAGUGAUGGAGAGGCAGGCGGAAUUCCCGGUGUAGCGGUGGAAUGCGUAGAUAUCGGGAGGAACACCAGUGGCGAAGGCGGCCUGCUGGACAUUAACUGACGCUGAGGCGCGAAAGCGUGGGGAGCAAACAGGAUUAGAUACCCUAGUAGUC